rnacentral:rRNA from 1 species
GUCCCAGUUCGGAUUGUAGUCUGNAACCCGACUACAUGAAGCUGGAAUCGCUAGUAAUCGCGAAUCAGCAUGUCGCGGUGAAUACGUUCCCGGGUCUUGUACACACCGCCCGUCACACCAUGGGAGUUGGUAACGCCCGAAGUCAGUGACCUAACCGCAAGGGAGGAGCUGCCGAAGGUGGGGCCAGUAACUGGGGUGAAGUCGUAACAAGGUAGC